UUGCUUUUUUUACAGCCCAGCCAGAAAUAUCUGGUGAUUCCGGUAGUACUGCGAUUUGCUUACUUACCGUUGUUUUUAUUCUGCAACUACCAACCGGCUCGCAUAGAGAGAUCACUACCCAUAUUUAUCGAUAAUGAUUGGAUUUUCUGGAUCAUUGCUAUUACUAUGGGCUUCAGUAGCGGAUAUCUGUCAUCAUUAUCAAUGAUGUACUGUCCUAGAAUGGUGGAUUCGCAGCACGCAUCGACGGCCGGCAUGUUUGGGGCAGCAUCUUUAAUUACGGGGAUCUUUACAGGAAUCCUAUUUUCCAUGGCAAUGCCAAGUGUGGUGGCCAACGUGACGUUUUGAUUGUUUUAAAGAUGAAAUUUAGCGUUGCGAUAUACUUCUAUUUACUCAGGAGUUAGAAAAGAAAUGAAAAUUGAGAGAUAUUGGAACGUUUCUCUUAUUACAGUUAAAGAUGAGCAAUUUCUAUUCCUUAAGAAAAAAAAAAAAACAUUUUAAGAGCGGAAAUACUGAGGCUACUGCUCUUUAACACGAAAUAAGAGAAACAUUUCGAAAUGUUUACAUAUAUGUUGAAAAUACAUAUACAUAUAUAAUCAUACAAUUCUUUAAAUAGCAGAUUAUGAAGACAAGCUUUCAAUUAAAUAAGAACCUUUCAAAGUAAUGCAUGUUUUAUAUAAGCGUGACUUGGAGUUUUUGGAUUGAUUAAUCAUUUUUAAUGUCCUGUUGAUAGGAGAAAUAGUUAUGGAAAAAUAAAUAAGAUCAUGUAAAGUACGCAUUAAUGACCAGAAUAAGAUCGUUUCACAAGAGAUCUCUUGAAAAAUACCGGAAUUUAUCAGGUUUUAUCAGGAUUUAGAAAAGUUAAUAUAUUACUACUGCCCUUAUUAAUAAAACCGGACCAAUAAGCCUUAUUAAUGAAAAAAGAAAGCUGUACGGCACUUCCAUUUUUCGCAUUGUUCGAAUAACUGCUAAAUCAUUAGACGUAACAAAAAGAUUGUACAUUUAAAUCUGCAUAAUUCGUCACGCGUUUAAAGCUAAACGUAUUUUUCAUUUUGUUAAGAUUACAUUUAAAAUAUAAAGUAGAAUCAAACACUCCCAUCUUUGGCGCUAAACGCGUAACGAAAAUAUGUCUCUUAAUAGAAGUAAGCAUUACAUUUUUAGAUAGAGUUUACGCUAAAGUUGCCAUGCUGAAUUUUCCUGCAGAAAUUUUAUUUCUAAGUUAAUCUUGCUAUAGGCAUAUAUAAUUUUAAAGACAAAACAGUUUAAAAAACAGUUCUAGCAGCACUCCUUUGAAUUAAACAAUUAUAAUCUAAUUUAAUUACAUUGAAAAAGUAAAUUUUGAGUUUUACAUACUUUAAUUAUUUAAUUGAUCUUGGUUUAAAAGUUAAACUUGGGAAUAAUAAUAAAAUAGAGACCAUAUCUAGUAAUAUUUUUACAUAAUUGACAAGAUUUUGUAGGAAGAUCUGAUGUAAUUGUUUUGUAAUAAAUUUCCAUAUUAUUUUUAGUAUUACAAAUUUAUUCUGUAAUUACACGAGGUUGUUAUUUAUUAUUUUUUAGUACUGUUUAGUACUUUAUUUAAUAUUUUUUAUUUACAUAAAAAGUUGUCAUGCCUCGAAUUUUAUUAAAGUUAUAAUGAAUAUAUCAAAACAAAAAUUUUGCAGUUUUUUAGUUUUAUGAUAUUUUCAUAAAUUUUCCGUCUUAUAAUACUUGAAAUAAAAAUUUUAUUACAUUGAAAGUUAUGCAGGAGAGUCAAGACUGUUGGCCAUCCGAUUAAUACUAGUCCUAUCAGAAUUUUGACGACGAGCUUUCCACCUUAUCUAAAAUUAACACGAGCUAUAAUUGUAGAAAUUGGAAAUAUUUAUACAUUUGCUUGGACUAUGAUUAUAUGUUUUUAAUUGCAUAAUUUUUUGCCAUAUAUACAUGAGCUUAUAUUAUUUAUGUUUUAAUUAUAUAUUAGUCAUAUGAAAAGUCAUGGUGUUUUGUAAAUUUCAAAUGAUUGUAAUUAAAUUGUGUGAUGCACAAUAUUCUUCCAUAAAGCAAUAUUUGGACAAUCUGUACAAUUUUUUUAAUAAGAGCGCACAUUGCUUCAGAUAAAACUUAAUUUUAAACAUAAACUUUUAUAACUUAAGCUUAUACAAAAGCUUGUUAAUGUUUUUCUAAAUUUAUAUUAGAAAAUUAUAUUUUAAUAUCAUAAUUACAUUAAUUAUUAGUAAGAUAUGGCGGGGCUGCUUGAAUAAUUUGAUAUAAAUUUUUUAAAAUUAUCGCUGUUAAACAAUGCACAUACAUUCAUAAAUGUUCAAAUGUAACGUUUAUAUACAUCAAUGCGCACAUGCGAUAAAUUUGGAUAUUGUCUUAUUACCCAUAGAUAGCUCCAUUGUAUCUUAUAUAGCAAAUUGAAUCUCAUCUUCGUCGAAAUUUUCUCAUACUAGUUUUAUGAUGUAGCAUUUGCAUUAUACAUUAUAUUGAAAGUUAGUACAGUGUAUACCGUGAGAGACGGCUCAAACGUCUUUUCAUAAUUUUAUAUUUUUCUACAAGAGUUUUACCUUGAGUACAUAAAUGGAGUGUUUCUAAAAUCUUUGGCUAAAUUUAAUCAAACUGUAUUCAAUAAUUCUGUUCAACUAAUCUUAUCAUAAAUUUUUUUAAAUAAUUUUAUCCAAUUUUACCUAUCAUCGAUUCUAUUAAUAUAUAUUGUACUGAUAAAAAACUAUAAUAUUCCUAUAAAUUAGUGAUUUUGAUACAGUGUAAUAUAAUUUAUCCAAAUAUUUUGAUAACACCCUGUAUAUAUACAAUGUGGGAUAUAUUCAGCAAGAGAGCGCGUUUGUACAUGCAUUUUUAAUUAUUCUAAAGUAUAAGCUCUAUGACUCGUCUAUUAUCUCUCUUUAUCUAAUACUGUGCGCAAUCCAUCUCUAUUAUCUUUCAUCGGUUCUAUUUACACUCUACUAAUCGAUAAACAUAAAAGGUUGCACUACUAAUGCAUUUGAAAGAUUUCCUUAUUUGCAAUACAGUGAUUUUAGGAGAAACUUUUACAAAUUAAAUUAAAUCUAGAUUUAAUACAAUAAAUUUAAUUUUUUUUUUUUUUUAUUCUAUAGCUUUAUCUCUAUUAAAUAUAAAUUUAAUAAAUUAUUAUUGUAACAUAAUUGUAAGUUGUGUCUUUAAAGACAAUUCUAAAAUAAUAAGCUAACUACCUUCACAUAUAUAGAAUUACUGUGUUGCGAAUAAAAAUGUUUUUUUUUUUUUUUUUAUUAAUUACUUUAUUUAAAAAACGAAGGGAUUUCUUACACUUUAAUCGUUAUCAGAUUGACGAAAAUAAUAAUUCUAAAAUGAAUUCUGAAUUCCUACAAGGACAAUCCUCCGUAUAAAGCAACAGACAAUAAAUAAUCGAGGGAAUUCGAUAAUCCAAUAAAAUCGGAAGAUUCAUUAAAUUUAAAGAAGAGAAAAAAGAAAUUGAUAGAAUAGAUAGAAUAUUUUUAUAUGGAUUCUCACAGUCAUACAUGAAUAAAUUUCAUUCGACAAAUUGUUUCGCGCGUAUUAUACUGUUUAGAUUAUAAACGAGCUGUGUAUUUUAAACAAAUUCACGCAUUAAUAUUACACGCUACGUAUAUAAGAUUUAAGUGUAUAUUUAUUUCCGCAUGAAAAUGGGAUAUAACUCUUUAAAUAAGUUCGUUCUAAGGAGUUUUAUCAUUUUUAUGUCGAAAUGUAAUACAAUAAUAUAUUAAUUAUCUAUACAAAUCUAUAAGAUGUCUAAAAAAUCGCAGAUUUCUCGAUUAUAGAUUCAUAAAAUAAAAUAACUAUUCAAUAAUUUGAAAAGAAAUCCAUUUUAUGCUAUUACAUAUUCCCGAUUCUUUCUAAAAUUUUAAUUUAAAAGAUUAAAUUAAAUCCAUUAUAUUAUUUUAAUUGUUAAUAUUCUUAAACUUAAAUUUUUAAUAUUAUAUACUUUGUAACUGUUUUAAAGCAUUUCGACAUUCGGUAAAUCGAUGUUCUUUUUAUUUGACUUUUAUCUGCGAUUUUUGAAAAAUAUAGAUUCUGUGAAACAUCCUGAAUAUGUAAAAAUUGAAGAUCUUGUAAGAUAAGAAAUGGUUGCGUUUUAUGAAUAAGUAGAUUUAUGGAAACAGUUUGAACCGUUCAAUUUAUUGUAGAAAGAAUGUUAAAUAAAUGAGUAAGGACUAAUUAUCCCCAUUGAAAAAUA